rnacentral:rRNA from 1 species
AUGGCCAUCUUUGAGGAAUUCUUUGUGGGUGCCAUCGACCUAGGUCGCCUCAACUAUGGGAUCAUCUCCCUCAUCCCCAAGGUCCCUGGGGCGUCCGACAUCCGCCAGUUCCGGCCAAUCACGAUCAUUAAUGUGAUCUUCCGGAUCUUGGCCAAAGGGUACGCCAAUAGGGUGACCCUGCUGGUUGACCGGAUUACGCAUCCUGACCAGUCGGCCUUCAUUAGAGGACGAUAUAUCCUGGAUGGUGUUUUGGUCCUCCAUGAGGUACUUCACGAGGUCCGGUCCAAACACCUCAAGGCGGUUUUUCUGAAGAUCGAUUUUCACAAAGCCUAUGACUCGGUCAGCUGGACCUUCCUCAGAGAAGUCCUU